rnacentral:rRNA from 1 species
UACGGGGGGGGGCAAGCGUUGUUCGGAAUUACUGGGCGUAAAGGGUGCGUAGGCGGUUCGCUAAGUUGGAUGUGAAAACUCUGGGCUCAACCCAGAGCCUGCAUCCAAUACUGACGAGCUAGAGUUCUGGAGGGGGUAGCGGAAUUCCUGGUGUAGCGGUGAAAUGCGUAGAUAUCAGGAGGAACACCGGUGGCGAAGGCGGCUACCUGGACAGAGUCUGACGCUGAGGCACGAAAGCUAGGGGAGCAAACAGG